UGUCAUAAUGGCAACUGCCUAUAUCAGUGCUGUGCUGUUGCUGUCUCUCACAAAUGCCUCAAGGGAGUGAGUACAUGCACGGCGGAAGUGACAGAGGAGUGACGUUACCAACAAGCGACACAGAAGUGAGCAUCCGCGAGGAGGGAACCAGGACCGGACCAUUGUUGGCAAGCCGCAAACAGCAGCACUCGCAAAGCAAUCACCAUCUGUCCCUGACCUAGAACGUCAAUCACACAACAAGCAUACCUUAAAUGUAACCGUGGCCUUCGUGCAGUAGAAACCUAUACAGAUUAUUGGAUCUUUAGACAUCUUGGAUCUUGGUCCUUGUGGUGCGUUUCCCUCUUCCAUCCCUGCGUAGCCAUCUUCUCCAUCCUCAUCGCUACUAUAACUUACAAUUGCCGGAACAAAAGACCAGGCCCAAGAUACCCAUCCUUGCUGGUCGUCGUCGUCUUGCACAGAGUACAUUUCCUGCGCUGGAUACUGCGUCCCUGCGACCAGCUCCUCUUCAGAUCCUGCACAACACAUAAUGUUGUUUUCAAUAUUUAGUUGGUCACAACUUACAGAUAUUUGCACACAAUAUUUUUCAAUUAAUAAGCAAAUAAAUUAAAAAUGUAUUUAAAAAUUC